rnacentral:rRNA from 1 species
GGACUACUGGGGUUUCUAAUCCUGUUUGCUCCCCACGCUUUCGCGCCUUAGCGUCAGUAUCGAGCCAGAAAGCCGCCUUCGCCACUGGUGUUCUUACGAAUAUCUACGAAUUUCACCUCUACACUCGUAAUUCCACUUUCCUCUCUCGAUCUCUAGUCAACCAGUAUCAAAUGCAAUUCUCAGGUUAAGCCCAAGGCUUUCACAUCUGACUUAGUUAACCGCCUACGCGCCCUUUACGCCCAGUAAUUCCGAACAACGCUAGCUCCCUUCGUAUUACCGCGGCGGCUGGCAC